GGAUGUAAGGGUGAUCUGGCUGCAACAUCUGUCACCCCAUUGAUCACCAGGGUUGAUUCGGCUGAUCUGGCUGGCCAGGCGGGUGUCCCCUUCCUCCCUCACUGCUCCAUGUGCGUCCCUCCCGAAGCUGCGUGCUCCGUCGAAGAGAAGGACCAUCCUCGCUAGAGGAGGACCAUAUACCCUUCAGUCAAGGGUAUACGAGUAGCUGCGCUCCCUUGCUAGAACCUCCAAACAAGCUCUCAAGAAUCAGGUCUGGGAUCAUCUCAGACGAAGUUUCUUCGGGAAUCCCUCUAACUGA
rnacentral:snRNA from 1 species